AGGGACUUAGGAUAACUUAAACCAAGGGCCUUCAAAGCCCUAAACGAGGGUUAAAACCCCUCAGACCCUG
rnacentral:tRNA from 2 species